rnacentral:sRNA from 1 species
UUCGGCUCACGGGACAGGCCGUCGCCGAUCCGGGCUAUUCACGCGGGGUACAUCGACACGGUCAGGCUGUCGGUGUCCUCGGGUCCAAGGGCACGCAAGGCAUUUAGGGCAACUUCGGUUGCCCCUUUUUUUU